UCAAAUUGUUUGGCCAAGAUGAAUGUGCCC
rnacentral:piRNA from 1 species